AGAUCUCUGAUACUUAAUACUUACUAGUUUCUAUAUUAGACCUAAAUAUAGAUAGAUGUAAAUUGAUGGAUCUACUCUGUUACUAUUAUCAUAGAAUUAAAAUGACAUCUUGACUAGAUCUAGAUAAUCUAGUAUAAAAAUCAGUCUUAGCUACUAUUAGUUAGAAGAUUCUAUCCAGUUAACUAGUUCUAUAUUUGGUAAGAUCUACUGACUACUCUGUCAGCCAAUAAAUAUUUAGAUCUAUUAGAUCUUUUAUUUGAAAUAGAGUUAACUUUUAACAUAGGUGCUACAAAGUUUGAUUUAUACUAAUAUAUAUAGUUCGUCCAUCGUGGUUCGAUGAUGACCACUUUGUCAUCCAGGGGGCUGGUGCUUUGCACAGGGGUUUUAUGCCUCCUCAUGUGGCUGGUGAGACCUAUGUGAGCCCGGAAUGUUCGGCUGCACACUGGGCAGGUUAUUCCAGCUGGAGCUAGUGUCGUUUGUCUUGCUUUUCUUUUCUGGCGUUUUUCUUCUGCCUGCGUUGUUCUUUUUUCCUCAGCAACCUGUGCGCCAGUUUUCACAGCGUAACGCCAUGAUGCUCUGUCGUGUGCCUCUGUCUCCCAGGUGCCAGGGUCUAUGCUGAACGCCUUCAGAGAAGCUUUGAGGGUGUCCCUGAAGCGCUUUCUUUGCCCACCUUGCGAGCGCUUUCCUUCGCUUAGUUGGCCAUACAAGUCGUUUUGGGAUGCAGUGGUCUUCCAUUCUGUAGACGUGACCUGCCCAUCGCAGCUGGGACUGCAUCAGGAUUGUGUGGAUGCUUUGCAGACACGCUCUUCGAAGGACUUCUGUAUCUGGUAUUUUGUCUUGCCAUUUGACAUUUAGUAUUUUUCUCAGACAUGUCAUGUGGAAGCGGUUUAGUCUCUUUGCAUGUUUACUGUACACUGUCCAUGUUUCUGAGGCAUAGAGCAAUGUAGGGAGGAUGACGGCUCUAUAGACCCCUAGCUUGGUGUUUGUGGUGAUACCACGUCUGUUCCAGACAUUUGUAGACAGUCUGCCAUAGGAUGCACUGGCCUUGGCGAUACGCAGGUCGAUUUCACUACCUACUAGUAGAUGUUCCUUCAGAGUUGAAAACAACUACAUUCUAGCUCGAACGUCCCACAAGAAGAUGUGGGGUGGCUGCAGGCAGGGGUCUAACCUAGGAUCAUGGAGACCACCAAACAAUAGUCCAGAGUGUAUAUGAUUGAUUGAGUAGACAAAGAAGGGAUGGAUUACUGGAGCUAAAAGAAGGCAUAAUUUAACAACAUUGGGAUAUGGAAUGAGAGAGGCUAUAGUGUUUAUUAUAUAAAUAUGUAGGCCUCAGCUGGGGCUGCGCAGCCAUGGGAAAUACUGCAUUCCUCACUUAUCUUGGGACUUAUUAUAAAGCUGCCAUUAUCCAAGGACAUAUGAUUCUCUGGAGGCUUACAUCACUGGAAAAAUUCUUUGGGCCCCUGAAGAUUACAGUACAUGUAAUGCUGCAAAUGGAGGAGGAUGCUGGGCCAGGGUAAACACUCCAUAACAUAAUGGCAUAGUGAAUGAAAUAACAUUUUAUUUUAGUGUAUAAUAGUUGUAAUUUUAGUCUAAAAUAUUUAAUAAAUGUUACAGUAUAAACCAGUUGUCACAAUGCACAUUCAGCCAAAGUUAAAAAUUCUUGAAUAAAGUUAUCUCUAUUGUACUUAAGCUAGCUAUAUCCUGUAUAGGCAAAAGAUUGGCAGCAAUUCUCUCUGCAAAUGAUGAUGUGCUGAUUCAUAAUGGAACAUUUGAUUUUUUUAAUUGGGGGGGGGGGGGGGAAGGACUUGCUAAGUGGUUAAAUGCAGCUAUUUUGAGCUAGAGUUUUCAGGUUCAAAUCUUGGUCAAGAUUGUUUUUGAAUUUCAGGAUCAUAGAGUGCCUCAAGUCUGUGCAAUUUUAAUGACAUUAGUUGGGGAGAGUAAAGAAGGUUUAUCAUUGUGCUGGCCAUAUCAUGAUACCUUUAUAACUGUAGGCCACAGAAACAGAUGACAUUUACAUCAUCUGCCCUAUAGAUUGCAAGUUUUAAAAGGCAUUCUUAUUACAUUUUAAUCCGCAACUAUUCUAAAAAUUAUAAUCAUUUUUUCAGACAUUUUUUCUUUUCUGAGCCACUAAAUUGAGGAUUAUGUUAAAUCAACAAUUGAUUUUAAAAUAAUAUUUCUAAUUUACUUUGAUGCAAGAAAAAGCUAAUAUUAUAAGCAAUACUUACUUUAUUUAAAUUAUGCACUUUUAUAAAGUAUGCUAAGCAGGCUUAAACAAAGCAUAAAAAAAGAAUAUUUGCUAUUGAUCUUUUAGAAAAUGGGGCUAUGGAAUAUACAACUAUAUAUUUGUUAUAAUUUUAAUGAAGGUUUUUUUGUUUUUAGAUUUUAUCCUCAAAUUUAAAUCAAAACUAUGUCAAUAGCUAUAUGUCUUCAUAAGUUAUAACUAAUUUAACAUGUAUUUAUCUUUGGAAUGUUUGUAAAUUGUUUUACAUGUUUCGGAUGUCCUUUCAGAGUUGAAGAUAGUUUACUUCCUAGUGAUUGCUGAGAUUGCCUACUUUCUGAACUAUUAUUUGAUGUAAUAAAUAUUUGUCUGCCA